rnacentral:rRNA from 1 species
UACGUAGGGUGCGAGCGUUAAUCGGAAUUACUGGGCGUAAAGCGUGCGCAGGCGGCUUUGCAAGACAGAUGUGAAAUCCCCGGGCUCAACCUGGGAACUGCAUUUGUGACUGCAAGGCUAGAGUACGGCAGAGGGGGAUGGAAUUCCGCGUGUAGCAGUGAAAUGCGUAGAUAUGCGGAGGAACACCAAUGGCGAAGGCAAACCCCUGGGCCUGUACUGACGCUCAUGCACGAAAG